CCUACGGGUGGCAGCAGUGGGGAAUAUUGGGCAAUGGGCGCAAGCCUGACGCAGCAACGCCGCGUGAAGGAAGAAGGCUUUCGGGUUGUAAACUUCUUUUGUCAGGGAAGAGUAGAAGACGGUGCCUGACGAAUCAGCCACGGCUAACUACGUGCCAACGGCCGCGGUAAUACGUAGGUGGCAAGCGUUGUACGGAUUUACUGGGUGUAAAGGGCGUGUAGCCGGGUUGACAAGUCAGAUGUGAAAUCCUGCGGCUUAACCGCAGAACUGCAUUGGAAACUGUAGAUCUUGAGUACUGGAGAGGCAGGUGGAAUUCCUAGUGUAGCGGGGAAAUGCGUAGAUAUUAGGAGGAACACCAGUGGCGAAGGCGGUCUGCUGGACAGCAACUGACGGUGAGGCGCGAAAGCGUGGGGAGCAAACAGGAUUAGAUACCCCUGUAGUC
rnacentral:rRNA from 1 species